UUCCUAGUGAAAGAUCCCUGAAGAGAGACCCUUACUCAAGUCUUGGGAAAUCAAGGACCCCAGACACAGAGAGACCA
rnacentral:pre_miRNA from 14 species